rnacentral:rRNA from 1 species
UACGUAGGGUGCGAGCGUGAAUCGGAAUUACUGGGCGUAAAGCGUGCGCAGGCGGUUUUGUAAGUCAGAUGUGAAAUCCCCGAGCUCAACUUGGGAACUGCGUUUGAAACUACAAGACUAGAAUAUGUCAGAGGGGGGUAGAAUUCCACGUGUAGCAGUGAAAUGCGUAGAGAUGUGGAGGAAUACCAAUGGCGAAGGCAGCCCCCUGGGAUAAUAUUGACGCUCAUGCACGAAAGCGUGGGGAGCAAACAGG